GGCGGAGGAGCAGUAUGUGUACUCCUCGCCUAAGUGAAGAGCCUGAAAUCCUUGGGGAAUCAGGGGAUUAUGAAGGAAAGGUGACAGAGGAAGGCAGCCUCGUAAUGAGAAUCCAAAUGUAUACAAGAACACAUCAGAGUGUACCGCUCCACACGGACCGGCCCAGGGGACCUAGAGAGAGGUGCAGAUCUGUCUGGCAAAAGAGAACGAAUGCCUUUUUAUGGGCCAGAGUUCUGCAACAAGCGGUCGGCUCUCAGCGAGAUCAUCGGAGUAUGGGGCUAGAAUGGUCUCUUGAGGGAAAUGUGAGAGGGAGGGGGAUGGUACAUGGGUAGGGGGAGGAAGAUAUGAAAGAGAGUCUAUUUAGUUGUUUUGGCAUGAACCAAAGACUGAAUGAUCCUUAGGACAUUGACAUGAAACAGCCUUUUUGGGGUCUCACACACAAAGAGCCUGAGGGCUGGGAAUGAAGAGUUAAUGAUGAGACACUGCAGCUCCGGGACACACCAUUGCGCGAUGCAGAGAUGGAACAGUCCGCUCUGGGAGGAUUCACUCACCAUUCACAACAGCACUGAGAAAAAUUCUUCUCCAGCGUUCCUGACAUCGUUGUAUCAGGCUGCCGUUGUAGGUCUGAGUCCUGCAGAGAAGAUUCAAGGCGAUCUCAUGAUCCUCCUCCAAGCCAUCCCCUCCUCCCCGCGGAGAGGAUGACUUGGAGGUUUCCUGGCCCCUCUGGACCAGGCCUGACUCGGGAUGUGUGGUGGUGUGUGUGCAGGAGUAGGGUGAGGGGUUGGGCCAUAAAUGACUAGAGAGCAAUGCGUAAUUUUAUGCUCUAGGUUAGAGGAGUGUGUGGCAAUUAAAGGAGAAUUUUGAAGGGGGGCAAGACUUAACUCAAAGGAGUAAACUUUUUAAUGAUGGGAUUUUAAGCAUCAGGCGGGAGAGGUGUUUGAGUGUAAGUGAGUAGGAGGAAAGUGGUUCUCAAGUCAGUCAGCUCAUAAAGUAGUUAUUAUAUGCUGUGUGCAAUUUGAGGAAUUGUGUCCAGAAUGUGAAAUCUCAUUGUUUGGAAUCUCAAUUCAGGGCAUGACAUCUAUGAGCAGACAGUGAAGUCUCUCAGCUGUUUUGGGGGUCUGCGUCACAGGGGUUUAGGUCUUCCAGAUGUUUGUGGAUCUCUGUCCCAGGGUGUGAAGUCUCUAAGCUGUUUGAGAGUCUUUGUCCUUGGGUAUGCCUGGUUUUUUUUUUUCCCUUAAAGUUGAAUUUCAUUUUUGUUUUUUGGCAUUUCUCUGACUACAAAAGGGGCUUAAUAUUGUUUUUUGAGCUUGUAAAACGAUGUAUAUAAAUUUUAU